AUGGAGCAGCUCCGGACGAUCGGGCGGGAGCUGGCGAUGGGGUCGCAGGGCGGGUGGGGGCAGUCGAAGGAGUUCCUGGACCUGGUCAAGUCCAUCGGCGAGGCGCGCUCCAAGGCGGAGGAGGACCGCAUCAUCUCGCGCGAGCUGGAGCACCUCAAGCGCCGCCUCGCCGACCCCGACGUGCCGCGCCGCAAGAUGAAGGAGCUCCUCCUCCGCCUCGUCUACGCCGAGAUGCUCGGCCACGACGCCUCCUUCGGCCACAUCCACGCCGUCAAGAUGACCCACGACGAGUCCCUCCCGCUCAAGCGCACGGGGUACCUCGCCGUCGCGCUCUUCAUCGACGAGCGCCACGACCUCGUCAUCCUCGUCGUCAACACCAUCCAGAAGGACCUCAGGUCCGACAACUACCUCGUCGUCUGCGCCGCGCUCACCGCCGCCAGCCGCCUCAUCGGCGAGGAGGCCAUCCCCGCCGUGCUGCCCCAGGUCGUCGAUCUCCUCGCGCACCCCAAGGAGGCCGUAAGGAAGAAGGCCGUCAUGGCGCUCCACCGAUUCUACCAGCGAUCCCCUUCCUCCGUUUCCCACCUCGUCUCCAACUUCCGCNNNAGACUCUGUGAUAAUGAUCCUGGGGUGAUGGGUGCAACUCUGUGCCCACUCUAUGACCUGAUUUUGGAAGAUCCAAAUGCGUAUAAGGACUUAGUUGUUAGUUUUGUUAACAUCCUCAAACAAGUUGCGGAGAGGAGGCUUCCAACUUCCUAUGAUUACCAUCAAAUGCCUGCACCAUUUAUUCAGAUAAAACUACUGAAAAUACUUGCUGUGCUGGGUAGCGGCGACAAGUCAGCGAGUGGUCAUAUGUACACUGUCUUGGGUGACAUAUUCAGGAAGGGUGACACAGCGAGCAACAUUGGGAAUGCAAUAUUGUAUGAAUGCAUAUGCUGUGUCUCAUGCAUUUUCCCAAACUCUAAGAUGCUAGACGCUGCUGCUGAAACAACAUCGAAAUUUUUGAAGAGCGAUAGCCAUAAUCUUAAGUACAUGGGAAUUGAUGCUCUUGGACGACUAAUAAAAAUAAAUCCUGAUAUUGCAGAACAGCACCAAUUGGCUGUUAUCGAUUGCUUAGAGGACCCUGAUGACACUUUGAAGCGUAAGACUUUUGAGCUUCUUUAUAAGAUGACAAAAUCGACUAAUGUUGAAGUGAUUGUUGAUCGGAUGAUCGAGUACAUGAUCAGCAUAACUGAUCACCACUAUAAGGCAGAAAUUGCAUCACGUUGUGUUGAGCUAGCAGAACAAUUUGCGCCCAGCAACCAGUGGUUCAUUCAGACCAUGAACAAAGUCUUUGAGCAUGCUGGGGACCUUGUCAACAUUAGAGUGGCACACAAUUUAAUGCGGCUUAUCGCUGAAGGAUUUGGAGAGGAGGAUGAAGGUGCUGAUAGUCAAUUGAGAUCAUCAGCUGUCAAUUCCUACCUCCGUAUUCUGGGGGAGCCAAAGCUUCCAUCCUCAUUUUUGCAGAUCAUAUGCUGGGUUUUGGGGGAAUAUGGAACAGCAGAUGGGAAGCAUCCUGCUUCCUAUAUUAUCGGGAAGUUAUGUGAUGUUGCAGAGGCCCACCCAACUGAUGAUACUGUCAGGGGUUAUGCAGUCUCGGCAAUUUUGAAGAUUUUUGCAUUUGAAAUUGCUGUUGGAAGGAAAUCUGAUAUGUUGCCCGAGUUUCAGUCAUUGGUAGAUGAAUUAUCAUCUUCACAUUCAACAGACUUGCAGCAGCGUGCAUAUGAGGUACAAGCUUUACUAGGCUUGGACAAACAGGCUGUUGAAAGCGUAAUGCCCAUAGAUGCAAGCUGUGAAGAUAUUGAGGUCGACAGAAACCUCUCAUUUCUGAACAGUUAUGUGCAGCAAGCCUUGGAAAACGGUGCGACACCUUACAUUCCUGAAAGUGAACGCUCAGGCGUUGUAAGUGUUGGUAACUACAGAGCCCAAGACCAACAUGAGACAUCUGCCCAUGCUCUUAGAUUUGAAGCCUAUGAGCUACCUAAACCUUCACUACCUACAGCAACCUCACAAAGUAGUGUUUCCCUGCCGACUACUGAUCUUGUUCCAGUUCCAGAACAAAGUCACUAUAGGGAAGACCAUCAUCAGGGAAGGUCCCAUCCAUCAGCCAAUGCAGUUUCUGGUGAAUUUGGUGCCAAACUUCGUCUUGAUGGGGUUCAAAAGAAAUGGGGAAGGGAAUCCUAUACCUCCUCUUCUACACCUUCAAGCUCGACCUCUAGCCAACAAGCAGCCAAUGGGGGCUCUAACUCGGAUGGAGGAUUGGUAACUUCACAGGCACGUGAGUCCUCGUAUGGUUCCAAGAGUCAGCAGGGAACAGAAGUUUCAGCAGAAAAGCAACGGCUGGCUGCUUCACUUUUUGGUUCCUCAGCUGCUAAACCUAAUCGGAAGGGACAUGCUGGUCGGAAGGCAGCAAAAGAGAGUUCCUCGACUGAGAAAGUAACACCUCAGCCUGCUAAGGAGCAAGUAACCCCUGCUGCCCCACCACCAGAUCUGUUGGAUCUGGGUGAAGAGCCUGUUUCAUCAAGUGCUCCAUCUGCUGACCCCUUCUCGCAGUUAGACGGGCUACUUGGACCUGCAUCAGCCUCUCCCGCGCCUUCUGGAACCUCAGCUCCCAGUGCUUCCAACACACCAGAUCUUAUGUCCAUCUUCUCGGAUGAUAUACAAACUGGAGCCACAAGUGCAUCCACUGAACCCACACAAAAAGGAGCAACGACGAAAAAGGGCCAUAGCCUUCAAGAUGCGCUGCAGAAGGACGCCACCGCGAGGCAGGUUGGCGUGACCCCAACAGGGAACAACCCAAAUCUUUUCAAGGACUUGCUAGGCUAG
rnacentral:rRNA from 1 species